GACGAACGCUGGCGGCGUGCUUAACACAUGCAAGUCGAACGGAAAGGCCUGCUUUUCCUUGUGGACUGCGGGUACUAGCGUGGCGAACGGGUGAGUAACACGUGAGUUAUAUGUCCCCAACUUGGGUAUAAGCCUGGGAUACUGGGUCUAAUUCCCGCUAGGACUGCAGGGUGGUGGCUGUGGUGGAAAACGAUUUUCUAGUGGUUGGGGAUGAGCUCGCGGCCUAUCAGCUUGGUGGUGGGGUAAUGGCCUACCAAGGCGGCGUCGGGUAGCCUGCAUGGGAGGGUGGACGGCGAGAUUGGGACGGAGAAUUGGCCCAGAGUCCUGCGGGAGGCAGCUGUGGGGGGUAGUAGACGGUGAUCGGGAGCCAGGGGCAGAGACGUCACGUAGGGGAUGACGGCCUUCGAGUUGUAAACUCCUUUCGAACGCGAGGUAGGCACCUGGUUAGGAGGGUUGUGACGGUAGUUGUAGAAGAAGCACCGGCUAACUACGUG
rnacentral:rRNA from 1 species